CCCUUAGAUGUUCUGGGCCGCACGCGCGCUACACUGAAGGGAUCAGCGUGUUUUCCCCUCCCGAGAGGGACGGGUAACCCGCUGAACCCCCUUCGUGGUAGGGAUCGGAGCUUGCAAUUGUUCUCCGUGAACCAGGAAUUCCCAGUAAGCGCAAGUCAUAAGCUUGCGUUGAUUACGUCCCUGCCCUUUGUACACACCGCCCGUCGCUACUACCGAUUGAACGUUUUAGUGAGGUAUUUGGACUGGGCCUUGGGAGGUUUCGGCCUCCCUUGUUGCUCGGAAAGACUCCCAAACUUGAGCGUUUAGAGGAAGUAAAAGUCGUAACA
rnacentral:rRNA from 1 species